GCCGGUGUGGCGGAAUUGGCAGACGCGUCGGACUCAAAAUCCGAUUCUCUCGAGAGUGCCGGUUCGAACCCGGCCACCGGUA
rnacentral:tRNA from 1 species